rnacentral:rRNA from 1 species
UACGUAGGGUGCAAGCGUUAAUCGGAAUUACUGGGCGUAAAGCGUGCGCAGGCGGUGAUGUAAGACAGAUGUGAAAUCCCCGGGCUCAACCUGGGAACUGCAUUUGUGACUGCAUCGCUAGAGUUCGGCAGAGGGAAGCGGAAUUUCCGGUGUAGCGGUGAAAUGCGUAGAUAUCGGAAGGAACAUCAGUGGCGAAAGCGGCUUCCUGGACCAGAACUGACGAUCAGGCACGAAAGCGUGGGGAGCAAACAGG